rnacentral:rRNA from 1 species
GACGAACGCUGGCGGCGUGCUUAACACAUGCAAGUCGAACGGACAGGCCCUGCUUUUGUUGGUUGCUCGAGUGGCGAACGGGUGAGUAACACGUGAGUAACCUGCCCUUGACUUUGGGAUAACUUCAGGAAACUGGGGCUCAUACCGGAUAGGAGCUCCUGCUGCAUGGUGUGGGUUGGAAAGUUUCGGCGGUUGGGGAUGGACUCGCGGCUUAUCCGCUUGUUGGUGGGGUAGUGGCUUACCAAGGCUUCGACGGGUAGCCGGCCUGAGAGGGUGACCGGCCACAUUGGUACUGAGAUAGGGACCAGAAGCCUACGGGAGGCAGCAGGGGGGAAUAUUGCACAAUGGGCGGAAGCCUGAUGCAGAAACGCCGCGUGCGGGAAGACGGCCUUCGGGUUGUAAACCGCUUUCGCAGGUGACGAAGCGUGAGUGACGGUAAUGGGUAAAGAAGCACCGGCUAACUACGUG